rnacentral:tRNA from 1 species
ACCGCGAUAGCUCAGCUGGUGGAGCAUCUGCCCGGUAUACUGGGGGUCGCCGGUUCGAUUCCGGCUCGCGGCG